UUACAGCAAAUGUUUAGAGGGAUGUCGGCCCCUGCUGCCCCUGCGGCCCCUGCUGCCCCUGCGGCCCCUGCCGCCCCUGCCGCUCCUGUUUUAGGGCAGCACAACCCAAGCUCUCCGACUUCAGCGUGGGUUGAUUUAAUGCUGAAGAUAGAUGAACUGCAUGGGACAAUCAGGGACGAAUUUAAAAAUUUCAGAACUAUUCAGCAAUCUAAUAAAGGGAAUUUAUGUUGUGAAAGAUUUUGCAAAAGAUGUUGCGAAAGACGUUGCAAAAGAUGUUGCGAACGAUACUGCAUUGCACAUUGCAAUCAGUGGUGCAAUCAUUAUUUUUUUAGACUUUUUUUCAUAUCCCUUUUUAUUAUCGGGUCAAUAUGUUUUAUUUUUGCUUGCACAUUAUCCGGUGGUAACACCGCAGUUAUUCUAAGUUUGGUAGGGUCAUUUUUUUUAAGUUCCAUAUCUGUUUUUAGUCUAUGGUGUCGAUCUUAGAAUAGAGUUUUCUAUCCUCGAUAAAAUUCAUUCUAUGAACCAAACAUAGCAUAAUAGUUUGAGUUAGAUCGAUUGGUAAGGCUUUGGUUCAUGUUGCAAAAGUCCUAGAUCAAUUCAUGUGAUUGUACACAGGUGGUUCAUGUUGCAUCACAGGUUGUUCCUACCAAUUGGUAAGGCUUUGGUUCAUGUGUCAAAUCUCUCUUAUUUGUCAUAGGAAAUAUAGAUACUAUACAACUAUUUGAUUGAUUUUCCUGCAUCACAGGUUGUUCCUACAAUCUAUACUGAUAUCAGAGGCCGUAAAAUUUACUCCAACCAGAAAUGCAGAUGCAUAUCUGAAGCUGCCAGCUGGCGUUUACUUCUUUUAUGACUUCUCCCCAAUCAAGGUCAUAUUUACCAAAGAAAAUGCAUCGCUGCUGCACCUUUUGCUAUUAUUGGAGGUGUUUUUACUGUCUCCAGAAUCAUUGAUGCUUUUAUCUACCAUGGGCAUGGCGCAAUCAAGAAGAAGAUGGAACUUGGAAAGCACUCAUGAUUCCACCUUGGAUUGAAAUAUGGUUUAUUUGAGGGAGGUGAAAGCUAUUUCUACUGGGCAGGCUAGGCUAUUCUGCCAAUUCCAUUGGUUUGUGGGCAUUCAAGUAUUCAAGCGAGAGUACAAAAGAUGUAUACAACAGGAACAAAAUUCUGAUGAGAACUCGUUUCGUUGAUGUGUAUAAUUCGAUUGCUGUUGCCAAGACAAGAAUGAUCUUUUUCCUUUUCCAAACUUGGCGGCAAACGGAAGAGAACAAUUAUUCCUUUUCCAAACUUAACAUGUAAAAAGUGGUUCACGUCUUA